rnacentral:rRNA from 1 species
UACGUAGGUGGCAAGCGUUGUUCGGAAUUAUUGGGCGUAAAGAGCUCGUAGGCGGCUUGUCGCGUCAACUGUGAAAACCCGUGGCUCAACCAUGUGGUCUGCAGUCGAUACGGGCAGGCUAGAAUUCGGUAGGGGAGACUGGAAUUCCUGGUGUAGCGGUGAAAUGCGCAGAUAUCAGGAGGAACACCGGUGGCGAAGGCGGGUCUCUGGGCCGAUAUUGACGCUGAGGAGCGAAAGCGUGGGGAGCGAACAGG